UUUUAUGCGAAUUCUCUUUUCACUAUCAAUGGCAUUUUAUCGUAAUUAGCUCCUAACUUCAGGGUCCUCUUUGUUACCUCCUCCUUCUCUUCGUCCUCCCUCCAUUUUUCUUCACGUCUGGUUCUUUCUCUCUCUCUCUCUCUUCUUCUUCUUCGUCUCUCUCUCUCUCUCUCUCUCUCUCUCUCCCUGACUCUCUCACUUCUCUGAUUUGGGGUUUUCAGAUGGGAAAUGCAAACGGAAAAGAAGACGACGCCGCCGCCGCCGCUAGCGGUGGUGCAGAUGUCACCUCAUCUUC
rnacentral:lncRNA from 1 species